UACAGAGGGUGCAAGCGUUGUUCGGAAUUACUGGGCGUAAAGGGCGUGUAGGCGGUUAGAUAAGUCAGAUGUUAAAGACCCGGGCUUAACCUGGGGGCUGCGUUUGAUACUGUAUAACUAGAGAGCAGGAGGGGAGAAUGGAAUUUCCGGUGUAGAGGUAAAAUUCGUAGAUAUCGGAAGGAACACCAGUGGCGAAGGCGAUUCUCUGGACUGCAACUGACGCUGAGGCGCGAAAGCGUGGGGAGCAAAC
rnacentral:rRNA from 1 species